AGUUGUUGUGGAAGGAUCUGCUGUUGUUGUUUCCACAGUUGUUGACCACCACCAGUUGCUGGUAGUUGUUGUGGAAGGAUCUGCUGUUGUUGUUUCCACAGUUGUUGACCACCACCAGUUGCUGGUAGUUGUUGUGGAAGGAUCUGCUGUUGUUGUUCCCACAGUUGUUGACCACCACCAGGUGCUUGGAGUUGAUGUGGAAGGAGCUGCUGUUGUGGAUUGUCCAUUCCACCCCCCCCAGUUGUUUGAGGUUGUUUUAUAAGGACUUGCUGAACUUCU